GUGGGGAAUAUUGGACAAUGGGCGAAAGCCUGAUCCAGCCAUGCCGCGUGUGUGAAGAAGGUCUUCGGAUUGUAAAGCACUUUAAGUUGGGAGGAAGGGUAGUAACCUAAUACGUUGCUACUUUGACGUUACCGACAGAAUAAGCACCGGCUAACUUCGUGCCAGCAGCCGCGGUAAUACGAAGGGUGCAAGCGUUAAUCGGAAUUACUGGGCGUAAAGCGCGCGUAGGUGGUUCAGUAAGUUGGAAGUGAAAUCCCCGGGCUCAACCUGGGAACUGCUUUCAAAACUGCUGAGCUAGAGUACGGUAGAGGGUGGUGGAAUUUCCUGUGUAGCGGUGAAAUGCGUAGAUAUAGGAAGGAACACCAGUGGCGUAAGCGGCUAUCUGGACGAGUAUUGACGCUGAGGCACGAAAGCGUGGGGAUCAAACAGGAUUAGAAACCCCGGUAGUCC
rnacentral:rRNA from 1 species